UACGAAGGGGGCUAGCGUUGCUCGGAAUCACUGGGCGUAAAGGGUGCGUAGGCGGGUUUUUAAGUCAGGGGUGAAAUCCUGGAGCUCAACUCCAGAACUGCCUUUGAUACUGAAGAUCUUGAGUCCGGGAGAGGUGAGUGGAACUGCGAGUGUAGAGGUGAAAUUCGUAGAUAUUCGCAAGAACACCAGUGGCGAAGGCGGCUCACUGGCCCGGUACUGACGCUGAGGCACGGAAAGCGUGGGGAGCCAAACAGG
rnacentral:rRNA from 1 species